ACAACAUUUUUCCAGUCCAUCAAGGAAGGGAAUAAUGCUGAAUCUAGUUCUGAGGACUGUGUUUGAACAAAUACAUGUUUGAUUUGGAUAUCAAUUGCGGAACAGUGAUGGUAACAUUAUAAGAUUAAUGGCAGUUAUGCAAAUAGACAAGAAAGAAAAAGCCAGAAAUGCUCAACAUUAGGAGAACAAAGAUUCAAUGAUUUUACUAUUCCAGUGCAAUCCAGCUGAUCCUCCAAUAUUCUACCUUCUGAAGAUCUCAGACAGUGGUCUUAUGCCACUGCGCCUUAGCAGCAGCUGCCCCGGACUUUAGUGUGUCCCUUAGCACACAGUCCUGGAUCUUGGAAUGUGGCAAUCUGCAACACUCAGGCAGAGUCAAGUCCUUGUUCUGGAAGACCAACAAGUUUUGGGCAGAACAAAGAGCGUCUUUCAUUGAGUUGAUGGUUGUCCAGGCAUAGUUGAUGUUUAUCUCAGUGUGCGUCCCAGGGAACAGACAGUAGAGGACAGAGUCCUGCAUCAUGGAGCUGCUCGAAACAACCCUCAACACAAAUGCUGCAUCUUCCUCCAGACUUCCUUUGCAGAAGGACAUUCCAGAAGGAGAUGCACCCUCUUCUUUUCCCAUAGAGUCUCAGAUGCUAUGUGUUGACCACUUCCUGAUGUGGUCAAAAGUGCUUUUCUUUGCAAAUUUCUCUUUGAAGAACAGGUGAUAUGGUCCAAUAAUUUGGAGCAUUUUGCAGCAUCAAGGCCAGUCUCAUCCUUCACAGCACCAGGGACAGGUAGAACCUCAGUACACAGUGACACUUGGUGUGUGCAUACCGAGGAUCUACACACAGCUUGAUGCAGCCUCACACAAAGGUGGCCAUCAGAAUAAGAGCAAUGUUGGGUAUGUUUUUCCUUCCAGUUUCCAGAGUUUUGUACAUGGAGUCCCUGAAGAUUCCUGAAGAAGGGCUUAUGCCCGAAACGUCGAUUCUCCUGUU